rnacentral:rRNA from 1 species
GGGGCAGGUAAAAAGGGCAUGUCUACCUGUCUCACUGACAUGAUAAAUGCUAAUGAGUUGGAUUUUAUUGGUUUACAAGAGACUAUGAAAGAAACCUAUAAACCUUCCUUUUUUAGGAAGAUUGACCCGAACCAAAAGUUUCAUUGGGCAUGGGCUCCUUCUCGGGGGAAAUCAGGUGGUAUUCUUUGUGGGCUUAAUAAAGACAAUUUCGAUAUCCUUAUGACUAAACAUGGUAAAUAUAUCCUACAGUUAGAUCUGUUCGAUAAGAACAAAAGUUGUAGUUGGGUCUUGAUGACUGUAUAUGGUGCUGCCCACGAUGAGCAGAAACCUGAAUUCAUUGCUGAACUAUCUGCUAUGUGUCAUAAUACUAGCAAGCCAUAUUUGGUUGGGGGGUUUUAA